rnacentral:lncRNA from 1 species
UGCAUUAAGGGUUGAUGAAAACGUCGCUGAUAUCAAAGGAAACUGUUUACAUUGGUGAACAUAGAAUUUGAUGCUUGUUUUGCAGACUCCAAAAGAUGUUGGGACAGGGCUCUUGCACCUUGGUGACUGUGUCAACCAGAUUCAGUGGCGGGUACAAGGAGUGAGGACACCAGCUCCGGUCCCCGUCCCUCUGCUGUCCCCGGCGCUGCUGCGGCAGGAUUCUCCAGGCUGGGUUAAAGACUCGGUGAAAUCUAUUUUGUAACAGACAGACCAGGAGCAACUUCCACAGAGACCUACUGCGCCAACUCAUGAAGUCAGCAAGCCUGAAGGAAUCACAUCGCCUUGAAGCCACCGCAAGGACACGGAAGGCGGUUGAAAACAUAACUCAGCCUCCUCAGCGAGCACCUGGCUGUGCCCUCACCCAGAGGAGACUGCGGAAAGCCCACAGAACGGAGAUACAGAGACAGACCCAAAGACAUAGUCAACGAGAAGCUGCUGAGGAACACGAGGGUCCCUGUACAUCCCCUGAGGUCUGA